GUUGCCGCAACAGACACAGCGAGGACAAAAAAGCUUUUUGCUUUGCCAUCCGGCGGGCGCAAUGCAAAAAGAAAAGCGGAUUCACAGGAUCGGGCGGGUUGACUCCGAGGAAGUGGCUAAGAACGCAUGGCUUCGUGAAGCUAACCACGGUGAGGCCGACUAGGAGGACGUAGUCCACGGCGUGCACCGGGGGAGUAUCCAUCACAGAGACACCGGGGCACUUUGCGGGAGGUCAGUAGGCCUUUCCUGUCUCUCCACACUUCACGCAUCCGUUAAAAAAAAAGAAAGAAAAGAAGUGCAUGACGAGCAGUGGAAUCAAACCUCUCUUCGGCCGCAGCAGCCCAAUGCUCUAACCACAAGGUCACGGUCGCUUCUUUUUCUUUUUCUUCAGUCUCUUCUUGGUAUAAAUAAAGCAUCAC